UACGAAGGGGGCUAGCGUUGCCCGGAAUCACUGGGCGUAAAGGGUGCGUAGGCGGCUCUUUAAGUCAGGGGUGAAAUCCUGGAGCUCAACUCCAGGACUGCCUUUGAUACUGAGGAUCUUGAGUUCGGGAGAGGUGAGUGGAACUGCGAGUGUAGAGGUGAAAUUCGUAGAUAUUCGCAAGAACACCAGUGGCGAAGGCGGCUCGCUGGCCCGAUACUGACGCUGAGGCACGAAAGCGUGGGGAGCAAACAGG
rnacentral:rRNA from 1 species